rnacentral:lncRNA from 1 species
GACUAGAGAAAGGAAAGGCAACCUAUGCAUCAUAAAUUCCAACUCUGAGAAGGAGAGGUAGAAAAGGAGACCAGAAAACAGCUUACUGAAGAGGGACCAUGGAAAAGUUUAGCAAUGCUACCAACUUAGAAUUAUUGAUCAAUAAUUUUGUUAGACAAGACGAAACCAUAGAAAUAGGUAAUAUUGUGUUAUUUUGUUAAUUUUUGCUUUUUCCUAGCUUCUAUAAUCAUGGAAGAACUUGAGCAUGAUUGUCUUUUCACAUAAAGGGGGGAAAGGGGGGUGUAUGUCUUGAAUGAUGUGUGGUUCACAUUGUGGCCGAUCCCUACACCAAGUGCCCAGGAGUGGAGUCAUAUAACUCACAGGCAAAAUGCCAGUGGGUCGAGAGUAUAAGAAAUCUAACAGUGCCCAUUUCCUACAGAGCAGCAAAUGGCAUUUCAGAGCAAUUUUCAUGGUGUCAUCUUUUCCAAGGUUUAUGUACACAGGGAAGAUGGAGGGAACUUCUAGAUAUAUUUGCAGGCAUAUGAAAAAGACAGAAACAAGGGUGGCUGGCACUCAAAGCAAAAGCAAGUUGAUUCUGUUGUGUAACAAUGUGAAACUACUUAAUGUGAAUGCACUUAAUGCCCUAAAAUGUGCACUUAACAAUGGUUAAACAGGUGAUUAAAAUGGUAAAUUUUAUCUCAUAUAUAUUUUACAAUAAUAAUUUAUUUAAUGAGCAAAUAGAAUGAGGGGAUCAACUCGAUUCUUUAUAACCUGCACAGAGGGAAGGGAGCAAUGGUGCAGUUGGUUCAAAAACAUGUUUAUUUGGUUUUGGAUGGCAACAUAGGAGCCCAUGUGUGUGGCUGGUAAUGUUCCUAGGUAUGUUCACCUUUCUCUUGGGCACACGCUAUCUGAUAACAAAAGAAGAGAGUGCUUCAGUGGACUGAGUAGCAUGAAAGGAGGCGCAAAAGCUACUCCUGGCCAUGCGUGAUCUGCAGAGUGACGGGCAGUAACUGUACCAACACUGGGCAGAAAGGCCCAGCUAUCUAUGCACUGCCCACACAGCUGAUACUCCCCUGGCCCAUAGCAUGUUUGUGGGGUCCGGCCAGGGCUAUCCUAGAACACAGUAAUAGGCAGAGACUUCCACAUGCUCAUACCCAAGGUCUUGUCCUCAGAAGCUCUGUCAGUCUCUGCCUCAGAAAGGCUGGCCGAGGAAUGUUCAAUUCAGGGGUACUCCCUAUCCUGCUCAAAGACAAAACGGUGACAAAAGUGACAACACUUUAUGUCUGCAGAGUAAUUUAUAAGAAUAGCCUUGCAAAAUUCUCCAGCUUCAGUUGGUGUUUGUCACUUGCUGCCUGAUGUCUUCAGUCCAACAUUAGUGAUAGAAAAAUAUCAGGUCUGGCCAGGAAAAGGGCUUUUUAGCCUCUCUCUUCUUCUUAAAGGGGGCCUCUCUUCCAACUUAAGAAACAUUAGUCAAGCAUUGACUGUGUAUUCUGUGCUAGAUCCUGGGACACACAGAGAAAUUAGAUAAGACCCCGAGGUCGAGGCAUUGCCAUCCCUCAAACCUCAAGCCUCAUGCCUCCUGGUUGUAACCUUCCCUAGGGGCCCAAGAGAUGAUUGGUUCCCAGUCAGUCCCUUGACAAGUAUUCACCCUUUGCCUCCUCAGGAAAUCUCAUUCCAUUGCACUCUGUCCCUCUAGCCUUAGCAGAAACUAACACAUCUUGAGGACACUGCUCCCCUGUCUUAGUCAGUUUGGGUUGCUAUAACAAAAAUACCAUAAACUAAGUAAUUCAUCAGCGACAGAAAUUUGUUGCUAACAGUUCAGGAGCCUGGGAAAUCCAAGAUCAAGGUGCCAGCAGAUUCGCUUUCUGGUGAGGGCUUGCUCUCUGCUUCAUAAAUGACACCUUCUCUUGGUGUUUUCACAUGACAAAGGGUCAAACGAGUGCCCUCAGGCCUCUUUUUCAAGGGCAUUGUCCCAUUUAUGAGGGCACCACCCUCAUGACUGAAUCACCUCCUAAUUACCUCACCUUUUAAUAUCAGCACAUUGGGGAUUAGGUUUCAACAUGUGAAUUUUGAAGCGAUAUAAACAUUUACCAUAGCAUCCCCCUACCACUCUCUCCAUGGUUUCUCAUUCUCCCAUUCCUCAUUUACCUCAAGCUAAGGUGGGGGUAGAGAGGGAGUAGCACUGGGCACCCAUUGCUGCUUCCAGGCCAUCACUCCUCCUGCCUCCUGUGAGAGUCUCUUCUCCUUUAUGACUUUACCAUGAUGACUCCAAGUGAGGACUCCUCCUCAUGCCACCAACUGUGAACCUCCAAGGUACUGAAGAGAACUUCAGUAACAUUAAAAAAAAAAUCUCACUAUCAUCAAGUCCUGUGAGUUUAAGCUCUUAGUUUUCUCAGAUCUGAUCCCUCUGUCUUUGCAACCACUGCCCUGUUCAGGCCCUCGUUAUCUCUUGCCUGG